GGCUCUGGUGAUGGUGGUGGAGCUGUUAAUUCUUGGAGUCCAAAUUCCUGCACCACCUCUGAGUUCCGAGGGGGUGGGGAAGAGCAAGUGAUGGCUGGACAGCAAAGAGGAGUGGAGGCCGGGAGAAUGGGCAGCUAGCCCAGCGCUCUCCAAUAUCUGGGAGUCGACCGCACUCCUGCACUCCCUGUCAUCCCUGCUAAUGCAGGUAUUACCAUUGCUCCAAUCUUACAGAUGAGGAAACUCAGGCAUGGAGAGGUUGAG